UAUUGUUUUCUCCCUCAGGCUCCUUUCCAAAGCAUUGUUUGUAGCUAUUGUGUCUUUAAAAAAAAAAAAGGGAAAUGACUGACUUUAAGUCUGACCCUUGUAAGAGUCAGACUUUGUCCUGGGAACUGGGGUUACAAGAGAGAACAAGCCCAGGCAAGAAAUUUAUAAUCUCACAGGUACCAAAGACGAGUAAAUGUUCAGCCAAAUGUUCAGCCUAACACAGAUUCCAACAAAGCAUUUUUUUUUCCCUUAAAAAGCUUCCAGGGGCCCUCAGGAUAAAGUUUCCAGCACAGUGUAUGGAACUUUUCUUUUUCUUUCUUUUCUUUUGCUUUGUUUGGCUACACUACAUGGCUUAUUGGAUAUUAGUUCUCCGACCAGGGAUCAAACCCUGCAGUGGAAGCUUGGAGUCCAUACCAAUGGACCGCCGGGGAAGUCCCUGUACGGUUUUUCAAGACCUGAUCCACCCAGCUUUCCAAAAGCAUCUCCUCCAUCUGCAAGUCUUAGUUUUGGCCUGUGGGAUCUAGUUCCCCAACCAAGGAUGGAACCCAGGCCUCCUGCAUUGGGAACGCAGAGUCUCAGCUGCUGGACCACCAGGGAAGCCCCAGAUAGGACAUCAGACUUCUCCAAGGAGUUCGAGGUCCUUUCAGUGGGAAACCGGAUGCAUCAUAUAUUAAGUGGUGGUGAAACAAAGCGGGAAAAUCCAAUAAAAUUUGUCGUCUGGGUUCACAGUAGUCAGAAGGCAAGAGCUGUUUCACCAAGCAGCUCUGUAA